UACGAAGGGGGCUAGCGUUGCUCGGAAUGACUGGGCGUAAAGGGCGCGUAGGCGGCUGUCACAGUCAGAUGUGAAAGCCCUGGGCUCAACCCGGGAAUUGCAUUUGAUACUGGCGUGCUCGAAUCCGGGAGAGGUUGGUGGAAUUCCCAGUGUAGAGGUGAAAUUCGUAGAGAUUGGGAAGAACACCGGUGGCGAAGGCGGCCAACUGGACCGGUAUUGACGCUGAGGCGCGAAAGCGUGGGGAGCAAACAGG
rnacentral:rRNA from 1 species